UUGAUCCUGCCGGACCCGACUGCUAUCAGAAUAGGACUAAGCCAUGCGAGUCAACGUAGCAAUACGUGGCAUACGGCUCAGUAACACGUAGUCAACAUGCCCAGGGGACGUGGAUAACCUCGGGAAACUGAGGAUAAACCGCGAUAGGUCAUAAUAUCUGGAAUGAUUUCUGGCUAAAAUCUAUAUGGCCCCUGGAUUGGACUGCGGCCGAUCAGGCUGUUGGUGAGGUAAUGGCCCACCAAACCUAAAACCGGUACGGGCUCUGAGAGGAGAAGCCCGGAGAUGGGCACUGAGACAAGGGCCCAGGCCCUAUGGGGCGCAGCAGGCGCGAAAACUCUGCAAUAAGCGAAAGCUUGACAGGGUUAUUCUGAGUGAUUUCCGCUAAGGAAAUCUUUUGGCACCUCUAAAAAUGGUGCAGAAUAAGGGGUGGGCAAGCCUGGUGUCAGCCGCCGCGGUAAUACCAGCACCCCGAGUGGUCGGGACGAUUAUUGGGCCUAAAGCAUCCGUAGCCGGUUCUACAAGUCUUCCGUUAAAUCCACCUGCUUAACAGAUGGGCUGCGGAGGAUACUAUGGAGCUAGGAGGCGGGAGAGGCAAGCGGUACUUAGUGGGUAGGGGUAAAAUCCGUUGAUCCAUUGAAGACCACCAGUGGCGAAGGCGGCUUGCCAGAACGCACUCGACGGUGAGGGAUGAAAGCUGGGGGAGCAAACCGGAUUAGAUACC
rnacentral:rRNA from 1 species